rnacentral:rRNA from 1 species
AGCGAACGCUGGCGGCAGGCCUAACACAUGCAAGUCGAACGGACCCUUCGGGGUUAGUGGCGGACGGGUGAGUAACACGUGGGAACGUGCCUUUAGGUUCGGAAUAGCUCCUGGAAACGGGUGGUAAUGCCGAAUGUGCCCUUCGGGGGAAAGAUUUAUCGCCUUUAGAGCGGCCCGCGUCUGAUUAGCUAGUUGGUGAGGUAAUGGCUCACCAAGGCGACGAUCAGUAGCUGGUCUGAGAGGAUGACCAGCCACAUUGGGACUGAGACACGGCCCAAACUCCUACGGGAGGCAGCGGUGGGGAAUCUUGCGCAAUGGGCGAAAGCCUGACGCAGCCAUGCCGCGUGGAUGAUGAAGGUCUUAGGAUUGUAAAAUCCUUUCACCGGUGAAGAUAAUGACUGUAGCCGGAGAAGAAGCCCCGGCUAACUUCGUGCCAGCCGCCGCUGUAAAAC